rnacentral:rRNA from 1 species
AUGCAAGUCGAGCCCGUCCUUAGGUGCUUGCACCGAAAAGAUGAGCGGCGGACGGCUCAGUAACGCGUGGGUAACCUGCCCCAUACACAUGGAUAACAUACUGAAAAGUAUACUAAUACAUGAUAAUAUAUAACUUCGGCAUCGGAGAUAUAUCAAAGUGUUAGCGGUAUAGGAUCGACCCGCGUCUGAUUACCUAGUUGGUGAGAUAACUGCCCACCAAGGCGACGAUCAGUAGCCGACCUGAGAGGGUGAUCGGCCACAUUGGAACUGAGACACGGUCCAAACUCCUACGGGAGGCAGCAGUGGGGAAUAUUGCACAAUGGGCGAAAGCCUGAUGCAGCAACGCCGCGUGAACGAUGAAGGUCUUCGGAUCGUAAAGUUCUGUUGCAGGGGAAGAUAAUGACGGUACCCUGUGAGGAAGCCCCGGCUAACUACGUGCCAGCA